ACACAUCAGGGCACGAUGUGGACACAUCAGGGCACGAUGUGGACACAUCAGGACACGAUGUGGACACAUCAGGGCACGAUCUGGACACAUCAGGGCACGAUGUGGACACAUCAGGGCACGAUGUGGACACAUCAGGACACGAUGACAACACAUCAGGACAUGUUACAGCGUCUUGUUUUCCUAUCGGAUAUGUGACAUGACGUGAGACAGGUUACCGUGUUACCACGUGGUUCUGGCAGCAGAGACUGGCGUUUAAUCCGAGCUGCUGCAGCCAAUCAGUCGAUGGAACGACAGACACACGGACGUGACCGUUCACACCUCUUUCUGACAGCAGCAGUGAAGGAACUUUCUAAUAAGGCACCCUUUAUUCAGACUUCAACACAUACAUACAUCUUUAACUGAAGCCUGGCAGCUUCUGGGGUUCUUUGUGAGUUCAGAUGAUCGCUGGACCGCUCUCUCUCUCUGUCUCUCUCUCUCUCUGUCUCUCUCUCUCUCUCUCUCUGUCUCUCUUCUGUUUAUUUAGUCUCUCUACGUUACUGUGUUCUGGUUACUUUAUGGGUUUAGAUAAAUGACCUUUGGCUUAUUUUAAGGUUGAUUUUAGGAGGAAAUCACAUGAUGUGUUUUUUGAUACCCAUCUCCUCCUGUUUCUCUGGUACUCGUUUUUAGUGCUGCCUGUCUCGGCCAACACGCUCUGGAGAAACAGAUCGUUAAUAUCGAUGAGCUACGGAAGCCCUGAGAGGCCAGAGAG